rnacentral:rRNA from 1 species
GUCUACAGCCAUGCCACCCUGAAUGUGCCCGAUCUUGUCUGAUCUCGGAAGCUAAGCAGGGUCGGGCCUGGUUAGUACUUGGAUGGGAAACCACCUCAGAAUACCAGGUGCUGUAGGCA